GGACGGUUAGCACAGCGGUAGUGCGUUCCCUUCACACGGGAGAGGUCGUAGGUUCGAUCCCUACACCGUCCACCA
rnacentral:tRNA from 1 species